GCGCCAGUAGCUCAGCUGGAUAGAGCGUUGGCCUCCGAAGCCAAAAGUCGGACGUUCGAAUCCUCUCUGGCGCG
rnacentral:tRNA from 1 species